UACGUAGGGGGCAAGCGUUGUCCGGAAUCAUUGGGCGUAAAGCGCGCGUAGGCGGCCCGGUAAGUCCGCUGUAAAAGUCCAGGGCUCAACCCUGGAAAGCCGGUGGAUACUGUCGGGCUCGAGUCCGGAAGAGGCGAGUGGAAUUCCUGGUGUAGCGGCGAAAUGCGCAGAUAUCAGGAGGAACACCGAUGGCGAAGGCAGCUCGCUGGGACGGUACUGACGCUGAGACGCGAAAGCGUGGGGAGCAAACAGG
rnacentral:rRNA from 1 species